rnacentral:rRNA from 1 species
CCUACGGGUGGCAGCAGUAGGGAAUCUUCCACAAUGGGCGAAAGCCUGAUGGAGCAACGCCGCGUGGGUGAAGAAGGUCUUCGGAUCGUAAAACCCUGUUGUUAGAGAAGAAAGUGCGUGAGAGUAACUGUUCACGUUUCGACGGUAUCUAACCAGAAAGCCACGGCUAACUACGUGCCAGCAGCCGCGGUAAUACGUAGGUGGCAAGCGUUAUCCGGAUUUCUUGGGCGUAAAGGGAACGCAGGCGGUCUUUUAAGUCUGAUGUGAAAGCCUUCGGCUUAACCGGAGUAGUGCAUUGGAAACUGGGAGACGUGAGGGCAGAAGAGGAGAGUGGAACGCAAUGGGUAGCGGGGAAAUGCGUAGAUAUAUGGAAGAACACCAGUGGCGAAAGCGGCUCUCUGGUCUGUAACUGACGCUGAGGUUCGAAAGCGUGGGUAGCAAACAGGAUUAGAUACCCCAGUAGUC